rnacentral:lncRNA from 1 species
GAAUGGAUACUUGAUGUGUAUUAUAUGUGUUGGAGACUAGAAGUUCUCGUGAUCCGACUAUGCAGUGGUUAUAGAUUGUGUGCAUCGACAUUGUCUAGCAGUUAUGGAAAUUGGUGGUCCGAGCGAAUCUUUUGUUGCUUGUUAUGUUAAAUUUGGGUUAUGAUAUUAGAUGGCAGACUGGUUGUUCCAAUGUAGAUUGUCUAGACUAAUGUGUUAUGGGCUAUGUUGGAAAAUGCCACAGGCUGCGUGGCAAGGUGCAUCUGAUUAUGUUCAAGCAGGGUAGCUGGUAUUCCGGAGUCCAGCGGACGGCUGGCAAGCAUUGCUUUAUUAAUUGGGCCUUCGUGGCGGAUGUCAGUGCAGAGGUAUCUACCAUUGAUUCAGUUCCGGUAUUUGGGGGACUUGUUCGGAUACGUUAUUGUGGCCGGGCAUGAGACUAUAAGUGUUUAUUGUAAUUAGCAAAUUUGGCUCGAUUUGCAUCUCCUAUGCGAGAUAUUUGUGUGGAUCGGUUGGCAAGCCGCCAUGGGUAUGUUAUCUGGGUCGGGUUACACGCCGCAACAGUGUGAUAUGGAGAAUAGUUUUCUAUAUGUUACUUUGUAUACCUUUCUUCCUAGUUUCUGAGGAAAAUCCGUAUUGGGGGUUGCUCAACGAAUAGUGCAUCAG